UCAUCUUACUCGUCGACCCCGUGUGCCAUAAAGGGUUUUUGGUUUUGUUCUGUUUUUGUUUUCUGUUUUUUCAAGUUGUCCAAGGUUACAUAAUAAGGCCGCCUGACGAGAGCUCGCGCUUAGAACCCCUCCGCUGUUCUUGUGGAGAAGCAGUACUAACACCUCGGCGGUGUUCAUCAGAAGUAGCAAAAUGAUGUGGCUGGAAGGGCUGCCGAGUCAGUGACAUUGCAGAUGGAUGGCCACAGUCCAUGAUCUCAGCAGGAGCUCUCCACUCAUUCACUAUUAAGGAUGAUGUUAGCUGCAGGUUUUUCAUAGAUGCCUUUAACUGACCAAGGAAGUUCCCUCCCAUUUCUAGUUUGACUUCAAGAGGACGGGCGUGCUAACUGUUCGCUGCCUAAAAGUAAUAGCAUGACGAUCUGUGUUUCUUUCUCUUCAUGUGCCUUUCUCUUGGCAGCCUGACUUUCUCUGGUCACAUCACAAAAUGGCUGUCCCAAGUCUCCCAGAUUGACGUGUUAUCAACCACCUAAAGGGCCAAAAAACUAAACACUAGGGAGCCAACCACGAUCAGAAGAUUGCCAAGCAUGCAAGGACUCCAAGCGAGAUAAAAACAGACAUUGGGAGGACAAGCAACUUUUCUGAGGUCACACAG